GCCGAUGUAGCUCAACUGGCAGAGCAGCGCUUUCGUAAAGCGAAGGUUGCAGGUUCAAUUCCUGUCCUCGGCACCA
rnacentral:tRNA from 3 species